UGGGGAAUUUUGCACAAUGGGGGAAACCCUGAUGCAGCGACGCCGCGUGAUUUAGAAGGCCUUCGGGUUGUAAAAAUCUUUUCUAUGGGAAGAAAAUGACAGUACCAUAGGAAUAAGGACCGGCUAAUUACGUGCCAGCAGCCCCGGUAAUACGUAAGGUCCGAGCGUUGUCCGGAAUCAUUGGGCGUAAAGGGUACGUAGGCGGGUAAGCAAGUUAGAAGUGAAAUCCUAUAGCUCAACUAUAGUAAGCUUUUAAAACUGCUCAUCUUGAGGUAUGGAAGGGAAAGUGGAAUUCCUAGUGUAGCGGUGAAAUGCGCAGAUAUUAGGAGGAAUACCGGUGGCGAAGGCGACUUUCUGGCCAUAACCUGACGCUGAGGUACGAAAGCGUGGGUAGCAAACAGG
rnacentral:rRNA from 1 species